UGGUGGACGACAGAAGGGAUUGGGCGUGGAGACCUGACCUGGAGCCGCCAUCGGUGCAGAUCUUGGUGGUAGUAGCAAAUACUCGAGCGAUAUCCUGGAGAUCUGAUGUGGAGAAGGGUUCCAUGUGAACAGCUUUUGCACAUGGGUCAGUCUGUCCUAAGCUGCAGGAGAAAUCCGGGUUCUGGCGAAAUCGGUGCUCCCGAAAAACCAAAAAUUAACAUUUUGAAUGAUGGGUGUCACUGCCAAACCUAAGCAAGAGGGAAUCCGGUACUGAUUCCGGAACCUGGUCACGGAUAACCUCUCUUCGGAGAGGGUCGUUGGGGUCCUCGUGAUCUACACCGUAAGGUAGCUAAACUCGGGGAAGUCGGCCGCUGUCCCGGGCAGAGUUUUCUGUUCUGUAUAAGGGCCCGGAUCCCUGGAAUCGCC
rnacentral:rRNA from 1 species